GACAGCAGUCGCCGCGGUAAUACGGAGGGAGCUAGCGUUGUUCGGAAUUACUGGGCGUAAAGCGCGCGUAGGCGGUUACUCAAGUCAGAGGUGAAAGCCCGGGGCUCAACCCCGGAACUGCCUUUGAAACUAGGUGACUAGAAUCUUGGAGAGGUCAGUGGAAUUCCGAGUGUAGAGGUGAAAUUCGUAGAUAUUCGGAAGAACACCAGUGGCGAAGGCGACUGACUGGACAAGUAUUGACGCUGAGGUGCGAAAGCGUGGGGAGCAAACAGGAUUAGAUACCCCCGUAGUCCCUGUCUCUUAUAC
rnacentral:rRNA from 1 species